CUUGAAUGAGUUCUUAGGAAACAGCAGUUGUUACUACACAGAUGUGGCCAGGGCCGCCUGGCGUACCCUGCUCGUCUUCCUGCCUGCCACGCCAGUAAAACAAAACUCCAUGGAGAACAACCUUCUUUGUCUCUCCCUCCUUUGAUUUCCUUAGAAAUUUAACCCUUUGGAGGAGCUUUAGACAUUAAUAUUUACCCUUCUUUCCUUGGAUUCAAAAAAGGACAGUAACACCAAUGACUGACUGAAAUUCAGGAGCACACUAUGCAGCUAUGGGGUAACAAAGUUGAUUUUCUCUGCGUGACAGGCUUACGCUUCGUCAGUGUGUUGUUUACUCCUCAGGUACACUGUACUACUCCUGGGCUCCCCGAGGCAAAUCUACAAUUCCAUGAUUAAUGCAAGAGCAUUAGCCACGCUAGCCAGAUCCUUGGAGUCUACGAUUCUUUGUUUUCUUCUUAAAAAAAUGUUUACCUGCUGCUGAAUGCUGAUUCUCAGAUGAUGAUAGUUACUUAGGAAAGAGGAAGAAAAGAGCCUACAUUAGCACAGUUUUGUGCCUUUCUCACUUCCAUUUCCGGGAGAGGAAAAAAAGUGAAAAUUCUUCAAAAUCAGAUUGUUUUCAACUUUCAGUACCUUGACUACUGCUUUCAAUUCGAGAAGAGGAGGCGAGGAGGCCAAGUGGCCGAACCCAGAGCAGGCCUGCCCACUUCGGAGGGCAGCUCUGGGGCCUGGGAGUCCGUGAAUCGGAAACAAACUGCACCCAUACGCUGACGGAAGUUAAUGACCGAGUUAGUCAAGUUUGAAACUCCUGCAGGAACACAGUAGAGCAGAUUCCAGGCAGCUGGCCCCGUGUCACAUAUAUACGCCAAGAAAAAAGUCACCUAAAAACCUUAUACUUGUUCAUGCUUUGGUCCUGAAUUGUAAAAAUCCUGUCGUUUGAAAUCUGCCCUGUGAUAGGGUUAACUAGCAACCCUUGGAAGUAGUGGAAUUCGAAAAAAAAAAAGGCCAUUGUACCGAGCAGCCCCGGGGCUCAGGGGCGGACGCAGUUGGGAAGUCUGGCGCGAAAGGGGUGGCUUCGGUUUCAGGCACGGAGCUCCCACCGGGUUUUGUUCAGCAGCAGGGCCUGGGUGGGUCGUGAGCAGGCCCUGGAGGCCCCCGAUCCCGGCGCGCGGCACAGCCGCCCCUCGCAGAGGACACUUGUCACCAGGCGUCCCCGGCUCGGGCGUCGGCGGGAGGCGGCUGGAAGCCCCGGAAAGGCGGAGAGAGGGAGCGGGCGCGGG
rnacentral:lncRNA from 1 species